rnacentral:rRNA from 1 species
CCUACGGGGGGCUGCAGUGGGGAAUAUUGGACAAUGGGCGAAAGCCUGAUCCAGCCAUGCCGCGUGUGUGAAGAAGGCCUUCGGGUUGUAAAGCACUUUCAGUGGGGAAGAAAGCCUUGGGGCUAAUACCCUCGAGGAAGGACAUCACCCACAGAAGAAGCACCGGCUAACUCCGUGCCAGCAGCCGCGGUAAUACGGAGGGUGCGAGCGUUAAUCGGAAUUACUGGGCGUAAAGCGCGCGUAGGCGGUCUGAUAAGCCGGUUGUGAAAGCCCCGGGCUCAACCUGGGAACGGCAUCCGGAACUGUCAGGCUAGAGUGCAGGAGAGGAAGGUAGAAUUCCCGGUGUAGCGGUGAAAUGCGUAGAGAUCGGGAGGAAUACCAGUGGCGAAGGCGGCCUUCUGGACUGACACUGACGCUGAGGUGCGAAAGCGUGGGUAGCAAACAGGAUUAGGUACCCCGGUAGUC